GCCCCUAUAGCUCAGUUGGCAGAGCAGCGGACUUUUAAUCCGCGGGUCGCGGGUUCGAGCCCCGCUGGGGGCACCA
rnacentral:tRNA from 1 species